AGGCAGCAGUAGGGAAUUUUGGGCAAUGGGCGAAAGCCUGACCCAGCAACGCCGCGUGAAGGAUGAAGUAUUUCGGUAUGUAAACUUCGAAAGAAUGGGAAGAAUAAAUGACGGUACCAUUUAUAAGCUCCGGCUAACUACGUGCCAGCAGCCGCGGUAAUACGUAGGGAGCAAGCGUUGUUCGGAUUUACUGGGCGUAAAGGGCGCGUAGGCGGCGCGGUAAGUCAGCUGUGAAAUCUCCGAGCUUAACUCGGAACGGCCAGCUGAUACUGCAGUGCUAGAGUGCAGAAGGGGCAAUCGGAAUUCUUGGUGUAGCGGUGAAAUGCGUAGAUAUCAAGAGGAACACCUGAGGUGAAGACGGGUUGCUGGGCUGACACUGACGCUGAGGCGCGAAAGCCAGGGGAGCAAACCAGGAUUAGAUACCCCGGUAG
rnacentral:rRNA from 1 species